AUUGAACGCUGGCGGCACGCUUAACACAUGCAAGUCGAGCGGUAACAUGACUAGUAGCAAUACUAGUUGAUGACGAGCGGCGGACGGGUGAGUAACACGUAGGAACUUGCCCAGUAGUGGGGGACAACCAAGGGAAACUUUGGCUAAUACCGCAUAUUCUCGAGAGAGGAAAGCUGCCGCAAGGUGGCGCUAUUGGAGAGGCCUGCGUCCGAUUAGCUAGUUGGUAGGGUAAAAGCCUACCAAGGCGAGGAUCGGUAACUGGUCUGAGCGGACGACCAGUCACACUGGGACUGGGACACGGCCCAGAAUCCUACGGGGGGCAGCAGUGGGGAAUCUUGGACAAUGGGGGCAACCCUGAUCCAGCGAUGCCGCGUGAGUGAAGAAGGCCUUCGGGUCGUAAAGCUCUUUAGGCUGGGAAGAAGGUUGGUAGUUUAAGAGAUAAUCAAGUUGACUGUACCAGCAGAAUAAGCACCGGCAAACUCUGUGCCAGCAGCCGCAGUAA
rnacentral:rRNA from 1 species